rnacentral:rRNA from 1 species
GAUGAACGCUAGCGGGAGGCUUAACACAUGCAAGUCGAGGGGCAGCAUGGAGUAGCAAUACUCUGAUGGCGACCGGCAGACGGGUGAGUAACGCGUAUGUAACCUACCCUGUACAGGGGGAUAACCCGGAGAAAUUCGGACUAAUACCCCAUAAAGAUAUCGAGAGGCAUCUUUUGGUAUUUAAAGUUUCGACGGUACGGGAUGGGCAUGCGUAACAUUAGCUAGUUGGUAGGGUAACGGCCUACCAAGGCGACGAUGUUUAGGGGUCCUGAGAGGGUGAUCCCCCACACUGGUACUGAGACACGGACCAGACUCCUACGGGAGGCUG